AAGCUUUCCAAUAUCGGGGGAAAAGAACCCACCGGGAUUCCCCCAGUAGCGGCGAGUUAGCCGCAACAGUUCAAAUUUGAAAUUUGGCCUCCCCGGGGCCCGAUUUGUAUUGGAGAGAUUCUUCGGGUAGUCCCCGGUCCAAGCUCUUGGACCAGUCGUCGUGAGGGUAAAAUCCCGUACGCGCCGGGACGCCUUCCCUCUGGGAACUUCCUUGGUCGAUUCGGUUUCUAGGGAAUCCAGCCCCAAAUGGAAGUUAAAUCCUUUCUAAAGUUAAAUCCCGACCACGGCCGGAUACCGCUCAAGUAGAGUGUUGGAAAGAUGAAAACCACUUUGGAAGGGGAGUCAAAAACCACGUGAAAUUGUGGAAAGGGAAGCGUUCCCGAUCAGUUUCGCCGGCGGCCGUUGGCCAUCCCCCUGGGGGUGCCUACUCGGCCGCCGCCGGGCCAGCAUCGGUUCCGGCGGCCGGAGAAAGGGGGCGGGAACGUGGCCCCCCCGGGGGUGUUAUAGCCCGCCCCCCAAUACGGCCAGCCGGGACCGAGGUCCGCGCCCCGGUUAGGAUGCUGGCGAAAUGGUCGUGAGCGGCCCGUCUUGAAACACGGACCAAGGAGUCUAUCGUCCAUGCGAGUGUUUGGGUGUCAAACCCGUGCGCGCAAUGAAAGUGAACGGAGGUGGGAACCCGCGAGGGCGCACCAUCGACCGAUCCUGAUGUCUUCGGAUGGAUUUGAGUAGGAGCAUGGCCGUUGGGACCCGAAAGAUGGUGAACUAUGCCUGAGUAGAGCGAAGCCAGAGGAAACUCUGGUGGAGGCUCGCAGCGGUUCUGACGUGCAAAUCGAUCGUCAAACUUGGGUAUAGGGGCGAAAAGACUAAUCGACCUCUGAAGUC
rnacentral:rRNA from 1 species